rnacentral:rRNA from 1 species
AUUGAACGCUGGCGGCAUGCUUUACACAUGCAAGUCGAACGGCAGCGCGGGCUUCGGCCUGGCGGCGAGUGGCGAACGGGUGAGUAAUGCAUCGGAACGUGCCCAGUAGUGGGGGAUAGCCCGGCGAAAGCCGGAUUAAUACCGCAUACGACCUGAGGGUGAAAGCGGGGGACCGAAAGGCCUCGCGCUAUUGGAGCGGCCGAUGUCGGAUUAGCUAGUUGGUGGGGUAAAGGCUUACCAAGGCGACGAUCCGUAGCUGGUCUGAGAGGACGACCAGCCACACUGGGACUGAGACACGGCCCAGACUCCUACGGGAGGCAGCAGUGGGGAAUUUUGGACAAUGGGGGCAACCCUGAUCCAGCCAUGCCGCGUGCGGGAAGAAGGCCUUCGGGUUGUAAAGCGCUUUUGUUCGGGAAGAAAUGCUGUGGGCUAAUACCCCGGGGGGAUGACGGUACCGGAAGAAUAAGCACCGGCUAACUACGUG